rnacentral:lncRNA from 1 species
GGCAAGUUCCUCUCGGCAUUUCCCCAUGGAGGAAGCGGCGUGCACGGCUGCAGCCCCGGAUGCUCGCACCUCCUACGGGACAGCAACGAAGGCUGUGGCCGCGCGAGCUCAGGACAGAGUGACCCGGGCGGCCUGUGUGGGGGUGUGAACGGAGGUGACCGGGGCCGGAUAGGAAAAGGGAAGCUGCGCGGCGGGCCUGCCAACUUUCUUCCUUUCAGGCUGGAGCCACUCUGCCAGGGUUUAAAACUUUAAAUGAGAAUAAAGGGUUUUAUUUGCGAGGAAAUGAGAGUGAAUAAGUCAUCUCUAACCUCUUCCAGCCUUUUUUUCAUAAGAGAGACCAUAUUAAGUUUACAUGUUAUGUAGUAUUUAUAAGUCUUGGGGGGUUUUUUUGCUUUUUUUUAGGGCUGCACCUGUGGCAUAUCAGGUUCCUAGGCUAGAGGUUGAAUCAGAGCUGCAGCUGCCAGCCUCCACCACAGCCACACCGGAUCCUUAACUCACUGAGCUGGGCCAGGGAUUGAAACCGCAUCUUCAUGGGUACUAGUUGGGUUUGUUUCUGCUGAGCCACAAUGGGAACAUCUAUAUGCAUUACUCUUAAAAAUAAUUAGCCAAGUGAGAGGUUGGAAAAAAUUAAAGUGGAAAUCAAGCAGAAAUAAAGAUGGAGACCGCUAAGGUUUAAUAUGAUGUGGGCGGUCUAUAUAUAAGUAAAGUCCAGUGGACACUUAGUUAGGUUCCAUUUUAGGCUGUGUAGCUUUUUGUGUGGUCCUGUGCAUGUGAUUUAAAUCUGUGAGGUUUGGUUUCUUUACCUUCAAGGUGGGGGUAAUGAUGUGUUUUUCUCAUUAUUGUAUGGCUAGAAUUAGUAUCAGUUGUCUGGAGCAGUGCCUCCAUAGGUGUUCAUUAAGACAUAGCUAUUACUCGUAGGGAGACAUAAUGAUAAAAUACAGUGACACUGGUUUUCAGGUUAUUUCUAUUACGUAGAAAUACCCUGCUGGCGUUCCCACUGUGGUGCACUGGGUUAAAAAUCUGACUGUAUCAACUCAGGUCACUGCAGAGGUACAGGUUCCAUCCCUGGCCUGGGGCAGUGGGUUAAAAGAUCUGGCAUUCCCGCAGCUGUGGCUUAGAUUGCAGCUGCAGGUCAGAUUCAGUCCCUGGCCUGGGAACAUCCUGAUGCCAUGGGUGUGGCCACAGAAAAGAAAAGAAAUACCCUGCUAUGGUAUCUCACCUACCCUUGUUGUUCGUGUCAGCCACAGUGAGCUUUCUUUUCCUAGAAAACUGCGUGUUUGCUCAUGCCUCAGUGCCUUUGAACUUGCUUCUUUCUCUGCUAUGUUCUUUUACUUUCAUGCCUUUGUUCAGUGUUAUCCUCUCCACUAGGCCUCCUGACUAACCUAAUAAAAGUCCUCCAACCCAGCUCCCCAGUGCCUUUAACGUGCUUGACUUUUCACCGUAGUAUUUGCCACCUUCCAACAUAAUGUCCUUAUUUGUUGCAUUGCCGUACCUCCAAGAGUAGGUAAACUCCAUUGAGGGCAGGAUUUUGGUCUGUUGUAUUCACUCCUAUACCUAGAAUAUAGUAAAUAGUAUUCAUGUAAAUAUUUGAUGAUCGAGUAAAUAUCACUUGUCUGUAGAGAGCCAUAGUGAAGGGGAUAUGAGUCAUGUACAUUACUAAUCAUAAUAAAGGCUGGAAAGGUGUCCAAAGAGGAGUUCAAGUUAAAGGCUAGGGAAUUCAGAAAAGAUUGGCUCAUGGAAUUCAGGUGGGGCUUCAUUGCGGAAGUGCUUUUUUGAAAUAGGUCCUUAAAGAUAAAAGGAAUAAUGUGGAAAAGAUAGAGAGGAAUGAAAGGAAUAGGUAAGAAUGGCAGCAGUGUGUUGACCUAGGGUGCAACUAGGGUAUGUGAAAUAUCAGGAAGUAAAAAUGUUAAAGAUAGGUUUGGAACAAAUGGUGAAAGGUCUUAGUUACUGGGUUACAAAAUUUGAACUUCUCUCAGGAAACAGUGGGUAGCCAUUCUGAGUUUGGAAGCAGGAGAAUGAGAGGAUAAAUGUGUUGUAUAGAGCAGUGUAGCAUCCUGCUUUUAAGCUGGAUUAGGGUCAGGAGAGACAUGGGGUGCAAGGACAUAUUUCAGAGAUAGAAUCCAUCUGGCUCCCUUGGCUCUUGUACACAGUUUGGAGAUGAAGAGGGUGAAGCCACAGUCAGAACACAAGAAGGAGCAGAUUGGGCAGAGAGGCAAUGACUGACACUGAGAGCCUGCUCUGAGCUGCCCCUUGCUUGUGUCCCAGCUUGGGGACUAAAUGGAAACUCCGGUGGAAAAGACUGAGACUGAAACCUGGAUUCUAGUCCUGGGUCUACUGUCCACUCCCACCAUGAGAAGUUAUUUAACAUCUCUGUACAUCUUUUCUCAUCAUGAGACUCAUCAAAUGUCUUUUCAAGCUUUGUUAAAAUUGAAAUCAAAAGUGCUCUGAUGGGUUUAAAGCUGUAAAUGUACUCCAGUUGAUAUAAUUUUUAAUUUAGCUGACUUUGAAAAGCAAAUCUUAACUUGGGCUUUUCAUACAGGUUUUAGAAUGUUGGUCCAUGUUUUCCUGUUCCUUAAAUUAUGUGUUCUCCGUGUUUUAAAAGGAAAGGUGGACCAAUUUCAUAAUAUCAUUUUCUUUGAGAUAAAGUAAUUUCAUUUUUGACAUAACUGCAUUUGAUGGAAUAUAACAUAACAUUAUAAGAAUUAUAAGUAAGUGUUAGUGAAAUCAGUUUUGAAAAUUAAAUGUGUUAAAGUUUAGAAAGAAGAAGCUGGAAAUUCUAAAAGUCUUUAAAAAUGGAAGUGUGUUUAAAAUUUGAAUAGUUUAUUUUCAGAAUUCUUGCUUAGCUAUGGGAAUCCUUGAGGGCAGCAGAAACUUUUGAUCAUCUUUAUAACUCCAGUGCCUGGCACAUUCAUAGCUGCUCAGUAUAAGUUUAUUGAACAGAUGGCCACAUAUAAAUAACAUAUUAACUGCCAGGGGUGGGGAGUGGGACCUUCCACUUCAGUCCCUCUGAGAGGUAAGAUCUACAGGUUACCCCCCUGCCCAGCCCCUGAGCUUGUUAUCUUUGGUUUGGUUACCUAGUUGAAGUGAAACUUAGCAAGUUUUCUUGUUUAGCAGUCUUUAAACCUGGACCUGCCUUAUAGCUAAUCCUUAAGAAAUAAAAAGUAAUCUCUGUUUCAGGCUCUCCCAGCUGUAAUUGACCUUCAGUUACACAGAAUGGGAACAGAACACUACCAGGUCUGAGACUAGCGAAGCAACUGUUCCUUUCAGGACAUUCACACUGAUGUCCUGUUCUCAAACUGUAAGUUAAAUGAGUGAUUCACUUACUUAGUUUAGUGGCUGAAGGCUGCUUUAUAGCUUUAUGGCGUAUAGCUUUUAUGUUACUUAUCAUCCUUCCCCAGCCCCAGUAUACACACUGGUAUAGUUCAUUGAGUGAACAAACAUAACAAAUAAUUUUAAUCCUAGAAAAGCUUUUAAAUCAGAUUUGCCACUAUAAAUGAGUGCCUUUUGUGGGGAAACCACCACAGUGAACUUAAGUCAUUGUCUUUAAGAA